rnacentral:rRNA from 1 species
UACGGGGGGGGCAAGCGUUGUUCGGAAUUACUGGGCGUAAAGGGUGCGUAGGCGGUCCGCUAAGUUGGAUGUGAAAACUCUGGGCUUAACCCAGAGCCUGCAUUCAAAACUGACGGGCUAGAGUUCUGGAGGGGGUAGCGGAAUUCCUGGUGUAGCGGUGAAAUGCGUAGAGAUCGGGAGGAACACCAGAGGCGAAGGCGGCUCGCUGGACAGUGACUGACACUCAACUACGAAAGCGUGGGGAGCAAACAGG